GCCCGUUUAGCUCAGUCGGUAGAGCGCAAGGCUCUUAACCUUGUGGUCCGUGGGUUCGAGCCCCCACGGUGGGCG
rnacentral:tRNA from 1 species